rnacentral:lncRNA from 1 species
GACAAUUCUGCAGAGAAUCGUCAUGGUGGGUUUGCCUGGUCGUCGCCUUGUAUGUAUGUAAUCUAUCAGGCUAAGCGACAUUUCCAGGGCCACAAUGUGUGCGAUGCCUCGAUCCCAAUUACGGCAGCUUGCCGCUGAAAAAGCCUCUCAAGAUGCUGGCAAAGCAAUUCAGCACGUAAUAAUCGGUGACGUGUGUACCGUACAGUACGACAGCUACUGCACAUCCUGUCCUCAUUCCCUGCUGCUUUGUUGGUCAACCUGCUUUCUCAAAACAAACUUCAAUGGGACAAUAUUUACUACAUAAUGGUGCCGUUAUGCCGAAUGGUAUGCUCCUGCUGCAAAAUCUGCUCCAUCCCUGCCGUUCCGCUUGCUGCCCGUGCCUCGCAAUCAUGCUCGUACCUCUUUCACAGUGCCACUUCUACAAAUCCAACUUGUGAUUGUUGCGGAAAUGCGUUGCCCAGCAAAUGCAUUGCCCUAGGUCUCUUUGCUCUUUUCUCAAGCCCUCCCCUUGCCCUACAUCACCAGAAAAUAUUUAUAUAAUAUUAACUCGUUUACCUCGCCACAGGAGUACCUCCAUCCACCAUACACCAGCAAGUCAGAUCCGCAGCGGACCAGCGAUGCGCACAUCCGCAUGCCAGG